GGAAAGAUGGCUGAGAGGUUUAAAGUGGCAGAUUGCUAAUUUGUUGUAUCUUUUUUUUAUGAUACCAAGGGUUCGAAUCCCUUUCUUUCUU
rnacentral:tRNA from 1 species